UGCAGUACUUGCUUCGGCUGCAUAUAUACUAAAAUUGGAAUAAUACAGAGAAGAGUAGUAUGGUCCCUGAACAAGGAUGGUAUGAAAAUUUGUGAAAGGUUCCAUAUUAAA